GCUGAAUCCUCGUUGGCUCUGAGUCUCUGACAAUGAUGAUUCAUGCACCCACCCAGCAAUGAGCAACCCAAACAUUAAUCCCUUGCCAGCUCCCACGAUGUCUCUCUAAACUCUCCUCCCGUCUUCUGGGUCUCACUCAAGAUUCAAAAAUCCAAUCCAACAUCAAAAUCCUUGAUUUUGUGGAAAUUUUACAAGAAUUAAUCAGAGAUACUUAAUAUAUAGCAGAAAACGGGAAAAAGGGGGAAUUUUUCCCUUUUUUUUUUAAUUUUAUUUGCAUCAUGUUAUCAAAUUUAGACCACAACAUCUCCAGCUCCACAGUUGAAUCCCGGCCACUGGAACCCUCACCGGCCCCCGCACUGGAGCCACGCCCACCAACAUCUUCCGAUGAAGACUUCUUCUCCUCAACCUCCAUAGCCUCCUCCUCUUCCUCAGAAGACAUCCAGACCAACCACUCUUCACCACCGCUUCCGCCCGCGGCACCGCCACCGCCGCAGAUCCCCAUCUCUUGGCCGGCAAGUGGGGCUAUUUCUCGAGAAUGGGUCAACGAGUUAAUGAAUGCGUUUGAAUGGGCUUCGAGAGCUGUUCCUCCGCAGGAGUUUCCUUCUCUUCUUCCGGUUGAGGUAUUCGAUCGGCUAAUCCUGUCCGCCUCUAAAAUUUUGCAUAAAGAGAAAAAUUGCGUGAGUAUUGAGGGUGAAGAAUUAGGGCGGGUGUCAAAGGUUGUGGUGGUCGGAGACUUGCAUGGACAGUUGCAUGAUGUGUUGUUUUUACUGAAGGAUGCCGGAUAUCCGGGUGAAGAUAGAAUUUUUGUGUUUAACGGGGAUUAUGUUGAUAGAGGAGCUUGGGGUCUUGAGACUUUCUUGCUCCUCCUUGCAUGGAAGGUGAUUUUGCCACACAGGGUAUUUCUUCUUCGUGGAAACCAUGAAUCCAAGUAUUGUACUUCAGUGUAUGGGUUUGAGAAGGAGGUAUCAUGUAAGUAUGGAGAUAAAGGAAAACAUGUCUACCGCAAGUGUUUAGGAUGUUUUGAGGGUCUUCCUCUUGCUUCCAUCAUUGCUGGGCGUGUUUACACUGCACAUGGUGGGAUUUUUCGCAGUAUUCCAAGUACUCCUUCAAAAAGAUACAAAGGCAAGAAGAACCGUAAAGUAAUUGUCGACCCCAACUCAAAUGCAUUAUCUCUUGGUUCAUUUGAAGAGCUAUCUAAAGCUAGGAGAUCUGUUCUUGAUCCUCCUUGGGAAGGUCAAAACUUGAUUCCCGGUGAUGUUCUUUGGUCAGAUCCAUCCAUGGAUCCAGGUCUUUCCCCUAACAAAGAACGAGGCAUUGGUCUUUUAUGGGGUCCAGACUGUACGGAAGAAUUUCUGAAAAAGUUUGACCUAAAGUUAAUCAUCAGAUCACAUGAGGGUCCUGAUGCCAGGGAAAAGAGGCCUGGACUAGGACAAAUGAAUGAAGGGUACACCAUAGAUCAUGUUGUAGACUCUGGGAAGCUGAUUACAGUCUUUAGUGCACCAGACUAUCCACAAUUUCAGUACAGAUGAUGGAAUUGUGAUGAAAUCAAUAUCUGUGCACACCAAGACUGGAAUAUAAGCAAGCACUUGAAUACCUUGUCAUACUUGACCAAAUAUCAAAUUUAGUUGAGCUGCUUUAGCAACUGAUGAAAGGUACCGGAAUAAAGGAGCAUAUAUUGUUCUUGAGCCCCCCGAUUUUGACACCCCGGUUUUCCAUACUUUUGAUGCGAUUACUCCUAGACCAGUGGUGAAUCCCUAUUAUGACUAUGAAGAUGUGAUUGAUUCUGAUGAAGAACUGGAUAUGGCAUCGAUGGUACCAGCUACAUGAAGUUAUCGACGAAAUGCUAUAUAAUUAUAUACCUUAGAACUACUUGGAUAUCUGUGCGUGUUUGAGUUAAUGGUUCUUGUAUUCUCUAAUUACAGCAAUUUUUUGUUUUCUGUGUAAAUUUUCUUGGUUCAAGUUUCUGUAUUGUCCUUUGCUCCAGGAAGCUUGCAGCCCCUUCCACUGUAGAAUUUUGCAUCGAGUUUCAUAUAGUGUAGAUAGCAAAUAGCUUGGAAAAUUUUGUCAGAACUAUCUAUGAUACUUGUAUAUGAUGACAUUCAGAGUCUUCUUUUGAAUAUUCUGGAGGUAGAAUUUCUCUCA